GGACUUUUAUUUUAUAAAAAAUAUUAAUUUGUAAAAUUAAAGAAAAAUGUCUA
rnacentral:tRNA from 3 species